UGGGUUGUGGCUCAGUGGUAGAGCGCUCACCUAGCAUGUGCAAGGCCCUGGGUUCGAUCCUCAGCACCACAU
rnacentral:tRNA from 1 species